rnacentral:lncRNA from 1 species
CGAAGCUAGAUUAGUACCUUGCUUUGCUCAAAUAUUGAGUAGGUAGUUACCCUUUUUUUUUUUUGCUAGAAAAAAGGGGUAGGGGGGAGGAAGGGACCAACCCACUCCCGUGUAGCAGCCCCCACUGAGCCCCUACCCCGCCAGGAGAAAGUUCGAUGCGGAUGCGGAUAGACUCUGUUUUACUCAUACCCUUCCCAUCCGAAGGUGAGUA